UUUUUAUGAGGGGGGGGCUAUACAUGCAGUCGAGCGGACAGAUGGGAGCUUGCUCCCUGAUGUUAGCGGCGGACGGGUGAGUAACACGUGGGUAACCUGCCUGUAAGACUGGGAUAACUCCGGGAAACCGGGGCUAAUACCGGAGGUUGUUUGAACCGCACGUAUCAUACAUAUAUGCUGGCUUCCGCUAUGCCUUAUGGAUCGAGAAAUGAGUUAAUUCUUGAGGAUGACUCAUCUCCUCGCACCAAGUUUGUUUUUCCGUCUGGAAGGUGAUCUAUCCCCUGUGAUUGUUCUCCACUCUUAUUACAAAGCACCCUAUUCCCGUCCAUUCCGUUGAUUCUUCACCUACUUGCCGCUUAUUUUGUACAGUCUUCCACGCCACGCUUUCCACAUUUUUCUCCC
rnacentral:rRNA from 1 species